UACGAAGGGGGCUAGCGUUGUUCGGAAUCACUGGGCGUAAAGGGCGCGUAGGCGGCUUUGUAAGUCGGGGGUGAAAGCCUGUGGCUCAACCACAGAAUUGCCUUCGAUACUGCAUGGCUUGAGACCGGAAGAGGUUAGUGGAACUGCGAGUGUAGAGGUGAAAUUCGUAGAUAUUCGCAAGAACACCAGUGGCGAAGGCGGCUGACUGGUCCGGAUCUGACGCUGAGGCGCGAAAAGCGUGGGGAGCAAACAGGG
rnacentral:rRNA from 1 species